rnacentral:tRNA from 1 species
AAGAAUUUAAGUUAAUUAAACUUACAGCCUUCAAAGCUGUUUAUAAAAGUAAAAAUCUUUUAAGUCUUA